GAAGCACCGGCUAACUCCGUGCCAGCAGCCGCGGUAAUACGGAGGGUGCAAGCGUUAAUCGGAAUUACUGGGCGUAAAGCGCACGCAGGCGGUCUGUCAAGUCGGAUGUGAAAUCCCCGGGCUCAACCUGGGAACUGCAUUCGAAACUGGCAGGCUAGAGUCUUGUAGAGGGGGGUAGAAUUCCAGGUGUAGCGGUGAAAUGCGUAGAGAUCUGGAGGAAUACCGGUGGCGAAGGCGGCCCCCUGGACAAAGACUGACGCUCAGGUGCGAAAGCGUGGG
rnacentral:rRNA from 1 species